ACAUCGAUUUUCUAGAAAGGAGACUGGUUUCUGUUUUAAAGAGAGAAUAGAGUGAGUUCCGAUCAAAGCUCUUACUCAACGGGAAAUUUCAGAAGGUGCUCACAGGGAUUGUGAUUAACUUCAGAGUGAAAAUAAAAGCCAAAGAUGGGAAAUAGCUCAAAUAAAGAGAAAAAAGG